ACGAGAACAGAAAUCUCG
rnacentral:snRNA from 1 species